rnacentral:rRNA from 1 species
CCUACGGGUGGCAGCAGUGAGGAAUAUUGGUCAAUGGACGCAAGUCUGAACCAGCCAUGCCGCGUGCAGGAAGACGGCUCUAUGAGUUGUAAACUUCUUUUGUACGGGGAUAAACUCAGAUACGUGUAUCUUUCUGAAUGUAUCAUACGAAUAAGGAUCGGCUAACUCCGUGCCAGCAGCCGCGGUAAUACGGAGGAUUCAAGCGUUAUCCGGAUUUAUUGGGUUUAAAGGGUGCGUAGGCGGUCGGAUAAGUCAGAUGUGAAAGUCCGAGGCUCAACCUUGGAAUUGCCUCUGAUACUGUGCGGCUAGAGAGUAGUUGAGGUAGGCGGAAUGUAUGGUGUAGCGGUGAAAUGCUUAGAGAUCAUAAAGAACACCGAUUGCGAAGGCAGCUUACCAAGCUACUUCUGACGUUGAGGCACGAAAGCGUGGGGAGCAAACAGGAUUAGAUACCCGGGUAGUC